rnacentral:rRNA from 1 species
GUCGGCAGCUAGCUCUCUGCAACUCUCACACGAAGCUAAGCAGGGCUGCGUCCGGUCAGUACCUGGAUGGGAGACCACAUGGGAAAGCUAGGUUGCUGCCGGAA